UACGAAGGGGGCUAGCGUUGCUCGGAAUUACUGGGCGUAAAGCGCACGUAGGCGGCUUCUUAAGUCGGAGGUGAAAUCCUGGAGCUCAACUCCAGAACUGCCUUCGAUACUGGGAGCUCGAGUCCGGGAGAGGUGAGUGGAACUGCGAGUGUAGAGGUGAAAUUCGUAGAUAUUCGCAAGAACACCAGUGGCGAAGGCGGCUCACUGGCCCGGUACUGACGCUGAGGCACGAAAGCGUGGGGAGCAAACAGG
rnacentral:rRNA from 1 species